CACCUCCUAGUACCAUCACACUAGGAUUCGGGUUUUAUCAUACUAAUUUUAUGGGGACGCAUUCAGUCCAUUGCAGCCAUCAAGAUUCCUGGCCCCUGGUAAACACAGGCCUUCUCUCAGUUAUUCAGUCAAACACUAAUCCAGGUGCUGCUGUGAAGGGAUUUUGCAGAUGUCACUAAAUUCCCAAAUCAGUCAACUUUAAAACAGGGAGAUUAUCCAGCCUGGCCAAAUCUAGACGGAAACCAGCUCCCAUGGGGGUAUGGGAGAUGAUGUCUCCAGGGCUCACCCUUCCAGGGCAUGGAGGAGGAGAGAGAAGGAUGGAGAACGGAUGGGGAGUGGAAGUGCAAAAAAU
rnacentral:lncRNA from 1 species